AGAGGAAAGAGGAGAGGAAAGAGGAAAGGAAAGAGGAGAGGAAAGAAGAGAGGAAAGAGGAAAGGAAAGAGGAAAGGAAAGAGGAGAGGAAAGAGGAGAGGAAAGGAAAGAAGAGAGGAGAGAGGAGAGGAAAGAAGAGAGGAAAGGAAAGAGGAAAGAGGAGAGGAAAGAGGAGAGGAAAGUGGAGAGGAAAGAGGAGAGAGGAGAGGAAAGAGGAGAUGAAAGAGGAGGCGGAAAGAGGAGGAGGAAAGAAGAGAGGAAAGAGGAGAUGAAAGAGGAGAGGAAAGAAGAGAGGAAAGAGGAGAG
ensembl:lncRNA